UCCGGAUCAACGAACGAAUCACGAGAGGAUAUGCUCAAGAUGCCUACGCAAAAUAAAACGCUUCCGGGGUCAUUGGUAAAUUUUCUGCCAAUGCGCUCGCCGCUCCUGCACGUUUCUCUUUCCCGCCAGCGCCGGAGGAGACGUCGGCGGCGGCUCUGGACUAGUGCCUGACGCUGUGCGCGCCUCUUAGACGCCUGCCCGUGGGCAGCGCUCUGUUUAUUGCCGCUUCCUGCGCUUUCUCGUUCAUUUCCUCUUUCUUGAAGUUUUGCCUCUCUUCUUAACCUGACCUUUCCCUCCACCGCGCGUUCAUCUCAUGCCUCGGUCAAAGUCAUCGUCAGAGUUAAUCGGCUGGUUCUCUGAAAGUUCGCCCUCCAUAGACAUCUUUUUUCCUCUUCACUUGGCUCUCCGGAGAAAUUCUUUUCAGAAGUCUCCCGGCUCCCGGUGUUGAAUCCUGCAUCCGAGAGACCGGCCAAGCCCCUGGUGGAAGGGCGGGCGGUGCCGUUCAGCCGGGGCUGCAGGGAGGCGGCGGCAGGAGCGGCCGACGAGGGCGUCUUAUGAGGGACAGGCGGUGGAAGUGUGAACUGGCGCAUACUGACUGUCCGGCCUCGGGGGCCGAGUCCCCUGGCCCCUCAUCCCCUAGCUCCGUGGUAAGCGCAGUGAAACGACAGUGUUCCGACAGGUUAAGAGAAAGCACGACUUCCUGAGCGCGGUGCUCUGUGGUAGUUUCGGUGGCACAGAAUCCUGCGUGUGUAGCUGGCGUCUGUCUUUCAGUCGAGUAUGUCCCGCACUAAAAGGGGGCGAGGUGCUCAGCCCUUCAUAGGGGCUGGGUUUCCGUCAUUCUCUGAUCUGAAUAAGUUGCCCAUUCUUGGCUUCUUCCCUGCUUCAUCAUUUAUUUCUUACCUUCCACACUCAAUUCUCCUCCUACCCAUCAUCUCUUCCUAUGUACGAAAACUCAUUGUCACAGGUUGGUUUCCCUGGGAAACGGACUUUGUCCGGUGUAUUUUGGCGUGAGGGAAGUUUAUCAGGGAUCAGUAUAGGGGAGGGGAGGGAAAGGAAGUGAAGCUGGGAAGACGGAGUAGUUCGGUUGUGGUGCCUCCUCUCAACAAAGGCCUUAGCCUAUCCCACAGAGACCUCUAGAAUACGAUGGACUUUCAACGUUUUCCCCAGUAGGAAUGCAGGCCUUGCCAAGGAAAGCUGUGUGACCUUAGUUAGGCAAGGAGGUUCUCUUCAGCCAAGGCAAUUACUCAAGGAGGCUGGUAGCUGAGACGUGUCUGCUGGCAGCACUCCCAGCAACCGGUGGAAUAAGACCUUUAUUCCUCGAGGGAGGCCCCAGAAGUACAUCACAGCAUCCGCAGUAGUCAUUAAAUCCCUCAUUCAACUGUUGUAAUUAAUUCCAUUUAUCUCACAUUCAUUCGGAUCUGUACUCAGCAGCACUAUUAAUUAUUCCUUCACUCUGGGUGCAUUUGGGAAUAUGCUUCUUUGGUUUUCCUCCUCCUUUUUCGUCUACUUACUCCUCAUUCUUUUUUUGGAGGCUUAUCCCUUCCUUCUCAGCCAUUAAAUAAAAGAGUUUCUUAAGUCUUGA
rnacentral:lncRNA from 1 species